AGGCCCUUUACCCUGGUUGAUG
rnacentral:siRNA from 1 species